AANCUGAGAAUAAUACUCCAUAGAUNUAGGAUGCUGGAAUGCNCCUAGGUUUAAAGCUCCGGCGCCUAAGGGGUGAGUCUGCGGACUAUCAGGCUGUAGUCAGGGUAAAGACCUGACUAACNUACGACGGAUACGGGUUGUGAGAGCAAUAACCCGGAGACGAUAUCUGAGACACGAUAUCGGGCCCUACGGGGCGCAGCAGGCGCGAAACCUUCACACUGUGCGAAAGCGCGAUGAGGGAAUCCCAAGUGCUUGCUCGUAAGAGUAAGCUGUUUCUAUGUCUAAAAAGCAGAGAGAGUAAGAGCUGGGUAAGACGGGUGCCAGCCGCCGCGGUAAUACCUGCAGCUCAAGUGGUGACCACUAUUAUUGGGCCUAAAACGUUCGUAGCCGGUUUAGUAAAUGCCUGGGUAAAUCGAGCCGCUUAACGGUUCGAAUUCCGGGUAGACUGCUAAACUUGAGACCGGGAGAGGCUAGAGGUACUCCUGGGGUAGAGGUGAAAUUCUGUAAUCCUGGGGGGACCACCAGUGGCGAAGGCGUCUAGCUAGAACGGGUCUGACGGUGAGGGACGAAGCCCUGGGGCGCAAACCGGAUUAGAUACCCGGGUAGUCCAGGGUGUAAACGCUGCUUGCUUGAUGUUAGUUGGGCUCUGAGCCCGAUUAGUGUCGGAGAGAAGUUGUUAAGCAAGCUGCCUGGGAAGUACGGUCGCAAGGCUGAAACUUAAAGGAAUUGGCGGGGGAGCAC
rnacentral:rRNA from 1 species